GUUAAUUAGGGCAUCUACUUUGUUCACAUCAGAGGUCAUUUUAAAACAAUCGAUUAGAGACAGAUUUAUUUCAGCUUUAAUUCACUAUAUCAGAAUUCCAGUGGGUCAAAAGUUUACAUACACCAAAUUGACUGUCUCUUUAAACUGUCUGGAAGAUUACAAAAAUUGAUGUAAUAACUUUUUAGAAGCUUCUGAUUGGCCAAUUGUCAUAAUUAGGAGUUAAUUGGGAGAUACAGUGGGCUCCAGAAUUAUUGGCACCCUUGAUAAAUAUGCACAAAAAAUGCUAAAGAAAAAAAAAAUGCUAAACUAAAAAAUAAUGCAUUUAUUGACAUAAGCUUUAUUUUCCAACAUGUGUAAACUAGUGUGCUUGAUUAAUGAUUCAUUGGAAUCAACCAAAGUCUUAAAUUUUUUAAAUAAAAAAAAUAUU